rnacentral:rRNA from 1 species
UACGUAGGGGGCAAGCGUUGUCCGGAAUCAUUGGGCGUAAAGAGCGUUGUGAGGACGGGCUCGAUAAGUCUGCUGUGAAAGUCCAGGGCUCAACCCCUGGAAGCCGGUGGAACUGUCGGGCAGAGUCCGGAAGAGGCGAGUGGAAUUCCCGGUGUAGCGGUGAAAUGCGCAGAUAUCGGGAGGAACACCAAUGGCGAAGGCAGCUCGCUGGGACGGACUGACGCUGAGACGCGAAAGCGUGGGGAGCAAACAGG